rnacentral:rRNA from 1 species
AGGACGAACGCUGGCGGCGUGCUUAACACAUGCAAGUCGAACGGUAAGGCCUUUCGGGGUACACGAGUGGCGAACGGGUGAGUAACACGUGGGUGAUCUGCCCUGCACUUUGGGAUAAGCCUGGGAAACUGGGUCUAAUACCGAAUAUGACCAUUGGUUGCAUGACUGGUGGUGGAAAGCUUUUGCGGUGUGGGAUGGGCCCGCGGCCUAUCAGCUUGUUGGUGGGGUUAAGGCCUACCAAGGCGACGACGGGUAGCCGGCCUGAGAGGGUGUCCGGCCACACUGGGACUGAGAUACGGCCCAGACUCCUACGGGAGGCAGCAGUGGGGAAUAUUGCACAAUGGGCGCAAGCCUGAUGCAGCGACGCCGCGUGAGGGACGACGGCCUUCGGGUUGUAAACCUCUUUCAGUAGGGACGAAGCGCAAGUGACGGUACCUACAGAAGAAGGACCGGCCAACUACGCGCCAGCAGCCGC